AUUGAACGCUGGCGGCAGGCUUAACACAUGCAAGUCGAGCGGGGUGAUGGUGCUUGCACUAUCACUUAGCGGCGGACGGGUGAGUAAUGCUUAGGAAUCUGCCUAUUAGUGGGGGACAACAUCUCGAAAGGGAUGCUAAUACCGCAUACGUCCUACGGGAGAAAGCAGGGGAUCACUUGUGACCUUGCGCUAAUAGAUGAGCCUAAGUCGGAUUAGCUAGUUGGUGGGGUAAAGGCCUACCAAGGCGACGAUCUGUAGCGGUUCUGAGAGGAUGAUCCGCCACACUGGGACUGAGGCACGGCCCAGAAUCCUACGGGAGGCAGCAGUGGGGAAUAUUGGACAAUGGGGGGAAGCCUGACCCAGCCAUGCCGCGUGUGUGAAGAAGGCCUUAUGGUUGUAAAGCACUUUAAGCGAGGAGGAGGCUCUUUUGGUUAAUACCCAAGAUGAGUGGACGUUACUCGCAGAAUAAGCACCGGCUAACUCUGUGCCAGCCGCCGCCGUAA
rnacentral:rRNA from 1 species